CUGAGGUUCAUACGGUGAUGAGUUUAAACAGUUUACACCCGAGUCUGGUUUCGAUCGAACCUCAAUUUUCUGGGGAUCUCGUUCCAGAUUAUGAAAGAGUAAACGUUUGUAGAGUCAUAGUUACGCUGAGUAUGAACUUC